GACGAACGCUGGCGGCGUGCCUAACACAUGCAAGUCGAACGGAGAUAGUAGUAAUACUAUCUUAGUGGCGGACGGGUGAGUAACGCGUGGGCAACCUACCUCUAACUGGGGGAUAACACAGGGAAACUUGUGCUAAUACCGCAUAACAUAUCGGAAGGACAUCCUUCUGAUAUCAAAGGAGUAAUCCGGUGAGAGAUGGGCCCGCGUCCGAUUAGCUAGUUGGUGGUGUAAUGGACCACCAAGGCGACGAUCGGUAGCCGAACUGAGAGGUUGAUCGGCCACAUUGGGACUGAGACACGGCCCAGACUCCUACGGGAGGCAGCAGUGGGGAAUAUUGCGCAAUGGGGGAACCCUGACGCAGCAACGCCGCGUGAAGGAUGAAGGUUUUCGGAUCGUAAACUUCUUUGAUUGGGGACGAAUAAAUGACGGUACCCAAAAAACAAGCCACGGCUAACUACGUGCCAGCCGCCGCGGUAAGAC
rnacentral:rRNA from 1 species